GGGGAAUAUUGGACAAUGGGCGCAAGCCUGAUCCAGCCAUGCCGCGUGCAGGAAGAAGGCUUUCUGAGUUGUAAACUGCUUUUGCCAGAGGAUAAAAAGACCAUGCGUGGGAAAUUGAAGGUACCUGGUGAAUAAGCCACGGCUAACUACGUGCCAGCAGCCGCGGUAAUACGUAGGUGGCAAGCGUUGUCCGGAUUUAUUGGGUUUAAAGGGUGCGUAGGCGGUUUUAUAAGUCAGUGGUGAAAUCCGGCAGCUCAACUGUUGAUGUGCCAUUUAUACUGUAGGACUUGAGUUCAGUUUAGGUAGGCGGAAUUUACGGUGUAGCGGUGAAAUGCUUAGAUAUCGUCAAGAACAUCGAUAGCGAAGGCGGCUUACUAAGCAGUAGCUGACGCUGAGGCACGAAAGUGUGGGGAUCAAACA
rnacentral:rRNA from 1 species